rnacentral:tRNA from 1 species
GGAGGAGUUCGGGAGCCCGGUACCCGGACGGUCUCGAAAACCGUUGGGCGCAUCGCGCCUCGUGGGUUCAAAUCCCACCUCCUCCGCCA